UACGGGGGGGGCAAGCGUUGUUCGGAAUUACUGGGCGUAAAGGGCGCGUAGACGGCCUUCUAAGUCGAACGUGAAAUCCCUGGGCUCAACCCAGGAACUGCGUCCGAUACUGGGAGGCUUGAAUCCGGGAGAGGGAUGCGGAAUUCCAGGUGUAGCGGUGAAAUGCGUAGAUAUCUGGAGGAACACCGGUGGCGAAGGCGGCAUCCUGGACCGGUAUUGACGCUGAGGCGCGAAAGCCAGGGGAGCAAACGGG
rnacentral:rRNA from 1 species